rnacentral:lncRNA from 1 species
CUCAUGCAAAAACGCUCUGUGAAAUAUCUCAUUUAUGUACUCCAGUGCUUACCUGACUUAAUUAUAUAUAUUUUGGGUUACGCAGAAUUUAAAACAAGGGAGAGACCAGAUCUUAAAAACUUCAAAGACUAGGUUUACCAAUAUGGCAUAUUAUAAUUUGGAAAAUGCUUGUACCAGCGACAAAUCAGAACUUUUGCCUUAAUGAAAAAGUGAGGCUAUGAUGUAUUUUGCCUCCCAAAUUUCAGUAGCAAAAGAUAGCCAUCUUUUGCUUUAAAGUCUUAUGAUUAAAAACCAACAAUUCAAGUAUUGAAAAUAGUUCUCUUAGUGCUACUUAUACAUUUAGUCAACUAAACUACACAUGAAUGCCCAGAUACAUCAUAUGUUAUCAUACAGUGGUAAAGUCUAAACAUAUCACACUGAGCAGGAUUUUCAGACUUCAAGUCUGAAAGUCUAGACUCUGACAGGAGU